UACGGAGGAUCCAAGCGUUAUCCGGAAUCAUUGGGUUUAAAGGGUCCGUAGGCGGUUUAAUAAGUCAGUGGUGAAAGCCCAUCGCUCAACGGUGGAACGGCCAUUGAUACUGUUAGACUUGAAUAUUAGGAAGUAACUAGAAUAUGUAGUGGUAGCGGUGAAAUGACUUAGAGAUUACAUGGAAUACCAAAUUGCGAAGGCAGGU
rnacentral:rRNA from 1 species